GGGUUGUGAGGUUAAGCGACUAAGCGUACACGGUGGAUGCCCUGGCAGUCAGAGGCGAUGAAGGACGUGCUAAUCUGCGAUAAGCGCCGGUAAGGUGAUAUGAACCGUUAUAACCGGCGAUUUCCGAAUGGGGAAACCCAGUGUGAUUCGUCACACUAUCAUUAACUGAAUCCAUAGGUUAAUGAGGCGAACCGGGGGAACUGAAACAUCUAAGUACCCCGAGGAAAAGAAAUCAACCGAGAUUCCCCCAGUAGCGGCGAGCGAACGGGGAGGAGCCCAGAGCCUGAAUCAGCAUGUGUGUUAGUGGAAGCGUCUGGAAAGGCGCGCGAUACAGGGUGACAGCCCCGUACACAAAAGCGCAUGUGCUGUGAGCUCGAUGAGUAGGGCGGGACACGUGGUAUCCUGUCUGAAUAUGGGGGGACCAUCCUCCAAGGCUAAAUACUCCUGACUGACCGAUAGUGAACCAGUACCGUGAGGGAAAGGCGAAAAGAACCCCGGCGAGGGGAGUGAAAAAGAACCUGAAACCGUGUACGUACAAGCAGUGGGAGCACAGGUUUACCUGUGUGACUGCGUACCUUUUGUAUAAUGGGUCAGCGACUUAUAUUCUGUAGCAAGGUUAACCGUAUAGGGGAGCCGGAGGGAAACCGAGUCUUAAUUGGGCGUUAAGUUGCAGGGUAUAGACCCGAAACCCGGUGAUCUAGCCAUGGGCAGGUUGAAGGUUGGGUAACACUAACUGGAGGACCGAACCGACUAAUGUUGAAAAAUUAGCGGAUGACCUGUGGCUGGGGGUGAAAGGCCAAUCAAACCGGGAGAUAGCUGGUUCUCCCCGAAAGCUAUUUAGGUAGCGCCUCGUGAAUUCAUCUCCGGGGGUAGAGCACUGUUUCGGCUAGGGGGCCAUCCCGGCUUACCAACCCGAUGCAAACUGCGAAUACCGGAGAAUGUUAUCACGGGAGACACACGGCGGGUGCUAACGUCCGUCGUGAAGAGGGAAACAACCCAGACCGCCAGCUAAGGUCCCAAAGUCAUGGUUAAGUGGGAAACGAUGUGGGAAGGCCCAGACAGCCAGGAUGUUGGCUUAGAAGCAGCCAUCAUUUAAAGAAAGCGUAAUAGCUCACUGGUCGAGUCGGCCUGCGCGGAAGAUGUAACGGGGCUAAACCAUGCACCGAAGCUGCGGCAGCGAACGUAUCACCCAAGACAACUUUACGGAGUUGACGAUUGACGGAGCGAAGCGACGUCAAAGCGUUCAUUAAAGUCGAGUUGGCUUAGGGAUACGUUCGUUGGGUAGGGGAGCGUUCUGUAAGCCUGUGAAGGUGUGUCGUGAGGCAUGCUGGAGGUAUCAGAAGUGCGAAUGCU
rnacentral:rRNA from 1 species